AACGCACAUUGCGCCCCCUGGCAUUCCGGGGGGCAUGCCUGUUCGAGCGUCAUGAACGUACCUCGGGCCGUGGUCGUCAACGAACGACCACCGCUCGGUCUUGGGCGCGAGGGACCGUACACCGGCCCCUCCGCCCGCAAUCCAUCGGCGGACCUGCCGCGGGCCGUGAGCGUGAUGAGCACCUCAAACGCGAACGGCUGCGGGUAACGUGUCCCGCCAUCAACCCCUCCUCAGAGACAACUCUCCGGUUUGACCUCGGAUCAGGUAGGGAUACCCGCUGAACUUAA
rnacentral:misc_RNA from 1 species